rnacentral:lncRNA from 1 species
CAGUGUCUGCCAUUGCCUUCAUCUCCAUCGUCACCAGCAUCGGCCUGGCCCUCAUCUCCCUCAAAUGCUUUCCUUUCUGCAUUUUUUGCUUCGAAUCUUUUUAGAGGUCUUUUUAUUUGGAGAUUUGUGGAAAGGAUAACACCUAAGGGAGAUCGGGGUUUCUUAAGUUCUGAUUAAGGGGUUUUUCAUUCUGAUUCUCACCGACAUCGAGUCCCCCUCCAAAUCUCAUGCAGGUGCUUUCCUUCCC